GGGCCGCACGCGCGCUACACUGACGGAGCCAACGAGUACUAUCCUUGGCCGAGAGGUCCGGGUAAUCUUGUGAAACUCCGUCGUGCUGGGGAUAGAGCAUUGCAAUUAUUGCUCUUCAACGAGGAAUUCCUAGUAAGCGCAAGUCAUCAGCUUGCGUUGAUUACGUCCC
rnacentral:rRNA from 8 species